CAUGCAAGUCGAACGAGUUCUGAUUAUUGAAAGGUGCUUGCAUCUUGAUUUAAUUUUGAACGAGUGGCGGACGGGUGAGUAACACGUGGGUAACCUGCCCUUAAGUGGGGGAUAACAUUUGGAAACAGAUGCUAAUACCGCAUAAAUCCAAGAACCGCAUGGUUCUUGGCUGAAAGAUGGCGUAAGCUAUCGCUUUUGGAUGGACCCGCGGCGUAUUAGCUAGUUGGUGAGGUAACGGCUCACCAAGGCAAUGAUACGUAGCCGAACUGAGAGGUUGAUCGGCCACAUUGGGACUGAGACACGGCCCAAACUCCUACGGGAGGCAGCAGUAGGGAAUCUUCCACAAUGGACGCAAGUCUGAUGGAGCAACGCCGCGUGAGUGAAGAAGGCUUUCGGGUCGUAAAACUCUGUUGUUGGAGAAGAAUGGUCGGCAGAGUAACUGUUGUCGGCGUGACGGUAUCCAACCAGAAAGCCACGGCUAACUACGUGCCAGCAGCCGCGGUAAUACGUAGGUGGCAAGCGUUAUCCGGAUUUAUUGGGCGUAAAGCGAGCGCAGGCGGUUUUUUAAGUCUGAUGUGAAAGCCCUCGGCUUAACCGAGGAAGUGCAUCGGAAACUGGGAAACUUGAGUGCAGAAGAGGACAGUGGAACUCCAUGUGUAGCGGUGAAAUGCGUAGAUAUAUGGAAGAACACCAGUGGCGAAGGCGGCUGUCUGGUCUGUAACUGACGCUGAGGCUCGAAAGCAUGGGUAGCGAACAGGAUUAGAUACCCUGGUAGUCCAUGCCGUAAACGAUGAAUGCUAGGUGUUGGAGGGUUUCCGCCCUUCAGUGCCGCAGCUAACGCAUUAAGCAUUCCGCCUGGGGAGUACGACCGCAAGGUUGAAACUCAAAGGAAUUGACGGGGGCCCGCACAAGCGGUGGAGCAUGUGGUUUAAUUCGAAGCAACGCGAAGAACCUUACCAGGUCUUGACAUCUUUUGAUCACCUGAGAGAUCAGGUUUCCCCUUCGGGGGCAAAAUGACAGGUGGUGCAUGGUUGUCGUCAGCUCGUGUCGUGAGAUGUUGGGUUAAGUCCCGCAACGAGCGCAACCCUUAUGACUAGUUGCCAGCAUUUAGUUGGGCACUCUAGUAAGACUGCCGGUGACAAACCGGAGGAAGGUGGGGAUGACGUCAAAUCAUCAUGCCCCUUAUGACCUGGGCUACACACGUGCUACAAUGGAUGGUACAACGAGUUGCGAGACCGCGAGGUCAAGCUAAUCUCUUAAAGCCAUUCUCAGUUCGGACUGUAGGCUGCAACUCGCCUACACGAAGUCGGAAUCGCUAGUAAUCGCGGAUCAGCACGCCGCGGUGAAUACGUUCCCGGGCCUUGUACACACCGCCCGUCACACCAUGAGAGUUUGUAACACCCGAAGCCGGUGGCGUAACCCUUUUAGGGAGCGAGCCGUCUA
rnacentral:rRNA from 1 species